ACAGGUAGGUACCACAACAUGACCACAUUAAGCUAGUAUGUUGGAGAAGUGGUCGUAACUUGCCUUCAGAGUCGGCGAAGCUGUUUGAAACCUAAAUGGGAAUGCUUUAUUCUUUUCAAACUGGUCCAUUAAACUAAGCCCUCACAUCAAGAUAUAUGAAUGAGCUGUAUUUGGCUUUGCUGAGAGUCUUUUACAGCCAUGCCUGACACAUGCCAGCUAGCUUUAGCCUAGAUGGAUAUCCGAUUUUCUUUUCAGAAAAAACCUGCCAGUUUCAAUUGAGACAGUAAGGUCAAAAUGAGCACACAGACAGAGGAGAGAGGAGGAUAGAGAGGG